CAACAGAGGUAUUGCUUUUUUCUUCAGUCUGCAUAUGGUACAUGGUAUGUCUGCUACAUCCUGUACUCCCACAGUGUUGAUAUAAUAAUUGUUUUGGAAAUACUGAACUAGGAAAUCACAUUAAACUACACUGAAAAAAAAGAUUCUUGCCACUAAUUGAAAUUAAGCAAACAAUUCAAAUAAAAUGUAUUUAAAAACGUAUAAAAUAACUAUUAUUAUUCCAAUUUAUUCUUAUACAACAUGAAUGAAAUGGAUUCAAGACCAACCUGAUCAAAUUACAUAAACUAUAGCCUACUUAAUUCAUUGCCAUAAGGCGCAAAUGCAAGUGUUGCGCAUGCUCAUUGGAGUCUGGAGUCAAAUAACAACAACUGAAGGCGGCAAACUGGCAACGGUGAUCUACUGUCCGACUCAGCGAAAAGGAGGAUUUGGAUGCAUAGAUGUGGAUGUUUUCAAGAAACCUCAUAACUUUGGGACAAUAACUCAAUUACGGUACGUGUAAUAUUUUUUUUUUCAUAUUUUUUUGUAUUAAAACUAAAAUUUACUCGUUUCAUUUCUUUGUAAAAUUGUUGAUGUCGAUUUUCUGUUUUUUGAGGCAACGUAAAGUGUGUGGAAGAAGUAUCACUGAAGUAUCCAGUAUGUUUAAGUAAUUGAAACAUUCUUAAACAUUGACAUUUUGAGGAGAGAUUCAGGCAACCUGUUCACAGUAAAUGAAAUAAAAGCAUAAUUUAUGUGGAUAAAGACUGUGCCACUUCUGUCACCGUUCAUAGCAGCUGGACAGAUGCAAGUGCGAAGACAUACACAUCAAACGAGACAGGACUGCAAUCCUGAAGGAGAUGAGGGAGGAAUUUCUGAGACCACCCUGGGCCUUUUUGUGACCCUUAAAGCGCUGAGUACUAGCCAGACGAUGUUGAAGUAGCAACAGAGGGUGUAAAACUGCUACAACACUUAAGAGUUUUUCCUUUGGAUUAAUAAUGCUGUUCAGAUUGAUCUACGCACUCCAGCUACGCUCAGAGUCUCAAAUUCACAUUUGAAUUCUUCCAGAAGGUAAUGAUGAAUUUGGACUUUAGGACAUCACAUAGAUGUUUCCAUCCCCUGGAAGGACAUUGAAAACUUUUAAACUUGUUCUGUAAUGUUGAAUUGAAGACAGUAUGAUCAAUGACACUAUGAACCGAUGACACUAACUCAAAUCAAGAGACUGCACCUAAUGCACCUUCUGGCUUCCUCUCUGAUACAUUUAAACACAUUUAAUUUUUUGUUCACCAAAACAUGAACAUUCUGUCAUUAUUUACUCACCCUCAUGUCGUUCCACACCCGUAAGACCUUCGUUCAUCUUCAGAAGACAAAUUAGGAUAUUUUUUAUAAAAUCCAUGAGCUAUCUGGCCUCCGAUAGACUGCAACACAACUAUCACUUUCAAGGUCCAGAAAGGUAGUAAAGACAUCAUUAAAAUAGUCAACAUGACUACAGUGGUUCAACCUUAAUAGUAUGAAGCGACGAAAAUACUUUUUGUGCGCAAAACAAAAAAACAAAAACUUUAUUCAAAAAUGUCUUCCCUUUUAUGUCAGUCUCCUACGCAGUUGAUGUUGUACACACAAAAUAUCUUAAUUUGUGUUUUGAAGAUGAACGAAGGUCUUAGGGGUUUGGAGCAACAUGAGAGUGAGUAAUUAAUGACAGAAAUUUCAUUUUUGGGCGAAUAAACCCUUUGAAAAGAUGUUAGCCCUUGUGCUAUUCCUUGUCCAGGAAGUUAACUUGUGAGUAGCACACUUGGGCUACUGAAUGCCUAAAUGCUGAAAUUUGACGGACAACAGAAAACCUGUUAUAUGUAAAGUAAAUUAUAAUCCUUCAGAUUGCUUUUCUUUUUUUCCCCCAAGUGUCCUGAUUGUUUAUUUGUUUGAACAAAUGUUUACAAGGAAUGUAACCAUUUACAGAUCUGUAUCAAGUUUUAGAUAAGUGAAAGCACAAACUGAUGACAAUGCUAUGCAGUGAGAUCCCAAUAUUACCUUGAAAUUGUGAAAAUAAUGUUUGAUGUUGAAAUUUGGUUCCAUGUUGAUCUAUGAACUUGUUGGCACACAGCCAUAACCAUUGUGUUAGUUUGGGAGAAGGCACAAAACUGCAGUAAACAGUUGCCUUAAUUUGUGAAAUACUGCAUUAUGUUCUAUUUUUUUUGUCAGAUUGGAUGUUUCUUAUUCCUGGAGCAAUUGUGACAAUAAAUGUUUAUAAAUGUAA